rnacentral:rRNA from 1 species
UUAGACGCUGGCGGCGUGCUUAACACAUGCAAGUCGAGCGAAGCAUUUUACUUUGAUUCUUUCGGGAAGAAGAGUAUUAUGACUUAGCGGCGGACGGGUGAGUAACGCGUGGGUAACCUACCUCAUACAGGGGGAUAACAGUUAGAAAUGACUGCUAAUACCGCAUAAGACUACAGUAUCGCAUGGUACAGUAGAAAAAACCGAGGUGGUAUGAGAUGGACCCGCGUCUGAUUAGCUAGUUGGUAAGGUAAUGGCUUACCAAGGCGACGAUCAGUAGCCGGCCUGAGAGGGUGAUCGGCCACAUUGGGACUGAGACACGGCCCAAACUCCUACGGGAGGCAGCAGUGGGGAAUAUUGCACAAUGGGGGAAACCCUGAUGCAGCGACGCCGCGUGAAGGAUGAAGUAUUUCGGUAUGUAAACUUCUAUCAGCAGGGAAGAAAAUGACGGUACCUGACUAAGAAGCCCCGGCUAACUACGUGCCAGCAGCCGCGGUAAUACGUAGGGGGCAAGCGUUAUCCGGAUUUACUGGGUGUUAAGGGAGCGUAGACGGUUAGAUAAGUCUGAUGUUGAAAUUCCAAGGCUCACCUUGGGGACUGCAUUGGAAACUGUUUAACUAGAAUGUCCGAGAAGUUAGUGGAAUUCCUAGUGUAGCGGUGAAAUGCGUAGAAUAUU